rnacentral:rRNA from 1 species
UGGGGAAUUUUGGACAAUGGGCGAAAGCCUGAUCCAGCAAUGCCGCGUGUGUGAAGAAGGCCUUCGGGUUGUAAAGCACUUUUGUCCGGAAAGAAAUCCUCUGGGUUAAUACCUCGGGGGGAUGACGGUACCGGAAGAAUAAGCACCGGCUAACUACGUGCCAGCAGCCGCGGUAAUACGUAGGGUGCAAGCGUUAAUCGGAAUUACUGGGCGUAAAGCGUGCGCAGGCGGUUUUGUAAGACGGAUGUGAAAUCCCCGGGCUUAACCUGGGAACUGCAUCGNNGACUGCAAAGGCUAGAGUAUGGCAGAGGGGGGUAGGAAUUCCACGUGUAGCAGUGAAAUGCGUAGAAGAUGUGGAGGAAUACCGAUGGCGAAGGCAGCCCCCUGGGCCAAUACUGACGCUCAUGCACGAAAGCGUGGGGAGCAAAACAGGAUUAGAUACCCUGGUAGUCCACGCCCUAAAACGAUGUCAACUAGUUGUUA